rnacentral:lncRNA from 1 species
AUGUGUCUGUUCUGUGUUUGUGCCUUUCUUGGCAGGAGGAGGCGGGAUGCACCAUCCUGGGGGCACGGAUGGGAAGUUGAGGCCCUUAGCUUCAAGAUGUUCUCCCAUUCCCUGGGAUGGAGCUGGAGAGAAGGCUCUGGUCCCCACAGUGGUCAUACUCCAUGCCUGCCAUCCCUGCUGGCUCAUGAUUUGUGGGUCAGAAAUUCAGACCAGGCUCAGCUGGUGAUUCUUCUGCAUCACACCCGUCACUCCGUGUCAUUUGGUCCCACUCAGCUGGUGGAUGGACUCCUGUGGAGGGCCCACAUGGCUUUGUCACACGCUUGGUCCCUUGGCAGGGACGACUGGAAGGCUGGGCACAGCUGGAUGGUCACCCAGAGAACCUACACGCGGCCUCUCCAACAGGUGGCCUCGGGGAAGUCAGACUUCUUCCUCGGGGGCUCCGGACUCCCAGAAAGAAUGUUCCAAGAGCUGCAGAAGAAAACUGCGGGUCCUCUGGCAUUGUGCUGAAAUUCCCACAUUUCUCUGGCACAUUCUCUUGGUCAAGCAAGUCACAAAAGAAGCCUUGAUAUCAGGAGAUGGGAAUUAGGUCUCACCUCCCAACAGAAGGAGUAAAAUGAGGAGGAAAUAAUAUGUGGCCACCAUCCUCUACCUCGUCUGCUUUAUAUUCUCUUUCCUGUAUCAUGUAUUACCUAACUUACUGUAAAUUUACUGCUUAUUGUUAAUCUGUCCAUAUUUGAAUAUAAGCUACAUGAGGACAAGGAUCAGUGUCUAUAUUAUUCACUAUUGUAUCUUAAACACCCAGAAAUAGCAUCUGGCAGUGUGGCAAUUCCUUAAAGAUCUAGAAGCAGAAAUACCAUUUGACCCAGCAAUCCCAUUAUUGGGUAUAUACCCAAAGGAAUAUAAAUCAUUCUAUUAUAAAGAUGCAUGCAAGUGUAUGUUCACUGCAGCACUAUUCACAAUAGCAAAGACAUAGAGUCAACCCAAAUGCCCAUCAAUGACAGAGUGGAUAAAGAAAAUGUGGUACACAUACACCAUAGAAUACUAUGCAGCCAUAAAAAGGAAUGAG